rnacentral:lncRNA from 1 species
AUUCUCUUAGAAGACAAACUUUCUGGGACCUCCAUGAACCAUUCUCUGCUUACCUACCUCUGUACUUAUGGUCUUUCACCCUCUGUCCUUGGCUGGUUAUAUCCGGUUCCUCAGAUUCUCCAUGGAGAUUGUUGUCAUGGGGAACUCAGUGAGUCACCCUUCUCUGCAUCCCUCCCACUGUCCCUCCCACUGGCUUGUUCACCUGAGCUGCCUUGACCUCCGAGGGGGGAAAACACAUGAUCCAGAUUCUGGACAUGUCCUGAGCCCUGCUACUGCGGGCUGA